ACUGUCAAAUUCGGAUAUGAUGUACAACAUAAUCUCACUAUAACUUUGGUAAUCAGGAAAGAACAAAAUAAAUCUCAGAAAUAUGAACUUUGAAGAUGUUUAGUUCCUUCAGUUAAAGAGAGUGUCUCUCUCUGUUCCAGCCUCCUGCCAUAAAGUUUUACGACUUGUUAUCUGAUCUGUGGAAUGCAGAGACGUCUCCGGCUGAGGGUCUCCUAAAGCUGAAAAGGGAUUUUAGCAUGAAAGUUCAUUAAACAAGACAUCCAUAGUAUAUAAUUGAAAGUCAUUGUCUUUUAAAAAGAAAAAGUUAUUCCAGGAGUUUAAAUGUUCACAGGAGCUCCAUCCUUCUGUGAAUGAAAACCUACAGAAAUACAAAUGUCUCAAUCUUCUUAUAGAGAUGGGUGUUGGUCAGUGCUGGAGAGGGACAGCUUAUCUGAGUUUUGAUCAGCUCAGGAAUUCCAGGGCCUUUGCAGUAUUCCUACAGUAUGGAAGCCUGAAUGGAAGUCCAUCUUCUGUCCUCCAUCUGCAGAUGAAACACUAAGAUUACAGAUAGAAUUAUUCUAGAUUGAAAGUGUGCAGGUGUGAGAGAGGCUGAUGAGAAUUCAGUUUGAUGUCAAACAGUCAGAGAAGAUCAGCUAAAUAACUAUAUGUCCAACAGGACCAGUCCAGAUGUUCUUCUAUCAAAUGCAUGAAGGAAAUAUAACGUGUCCUUUUUCAUAAUAACAUGUUUUGACAUUUAUGUGUCAUAACAGACUUUCUGACUGUGGACUCUCAGAGAGUCACUGUGAAGUCUUGGCCUCAGCUCUGAAGGCCAACCCCUCCCAUCUGAUAGAUCUGAACCUGACCUUGAACAUCCUGCUGGAUUCAGGAGUGAAGCAUCUUUCUGCUGGACUGCAAAGUCCAAACUGUAAACUGGAGACUCUCAGAAUGGAGAGCUGCUGGUUGUCAGAGAUCAGCUGUGAUUCUCUGAUCUCAGCUCUGAAGUCCAACCCCUCACAUCUUAAACAUCUGGACCUGAGCAGGAACGACCUGAAGGAUUCAGGAGUGAAACAUCUGAGUGGUUUUGUGGAGAGUCCAGACUGCAUCCUGAAGACUCUGAGAUUGAUUCGCUGCAGUUUGUCAGAGAUCAGCUGUGAUUCUCUGGUCUCAGCUCUGAAGUCCAACCCCUCCCAUCUGGAACAUCUGGACCUGAGCUACAACAACCUUCAGGAUUCAGGAGUGAAACAUCUGAGUGGUUUUGUGGAGAGUCCAGGCUGCAUCCUGAAGACUCUGAGAUUGAGGUACUGCAGUUUGUCAGAGAUCAGCUGUGAUUCUCUGGUCUCAGCUCUGAAGUCCAACCCCUCUCAUCUGGAACAUCUGGACCUGAGCUACAACAACCUGAAGGAUUCAGGAGUGAAACAUCUGAGUGUUUUUUUGGAGAGUCCAGACUGCAUCCUGAAGACUCUGAGAUUGAUUCACUGCAAGUUGUCAGAGAUCAGCUGUGAUUCUCUGGUCUCAGCUCUGAAGUCCAACCCCUCCCAUCUGGAACAUCUGAACCUGAACGAAAACAACCUGCAGGAUUCAUCAGUGAAACAUCUGUUAGAUCUUAAGGAGAGUCCAGACUGCAUCCUGAAGACUCUGAGCUGGAAGUGAUGCUGAUCAGGACGGUGUUUGUGCUGAGAGGAUGAAGUGUGUCCUGAUGAUCCAGAGGUUGAAGCAGCAGCAGCAGCUGGUGUGUAGAGACUCUGACUGGACCAUGUUACUGGGAGGUGGACUGGGAACCAGUAUGAAGUGUGUUGUUCCUGUAUAGUUUAGUGUUGCAGCUCCACACUGUUAAUGAUGGAGAAGUUCAGUUAAUGUUGACUUGAUCCGUUGGAGGUUGAUGUCAGGUUGCAGAGUGUGCAGGAAGUUUCAGGAUGUUUCCACUCUGACUGAUAUCUGCCCACUUGGAGCCUCAAUUCCAGGUUUUCAGCCCUUGGUCUGUUUGUGGGAAUGUUCCAGCGUUAUCUUUUAGUUUUGUCCUCACAUUAGCAUGACGUCAUGGUUGGUAAUGAUUCAAUCUGACCUUUAUUAACACAUAAUCGUGAAACACAUCCUGACUCAGCUUGUAAAUAACACUCAGGGCCUUUAGGUGUUUAAUCAGGACUUUUCCAGCACAUAUUAGUUUUUGCUUGAAAUGAAAUGUCCUGAAAAUUCCACAGCAGGUGUUUCUCCUGUUUGUAGCUUUAGUUGUGGGCAGUGAGUGUAGGUGAGUCCAAGCAGGGUUUUCAUUUGGACUUUUAUCUGCUCAACGUAGGAGAGUUCAGUUUGGUUCUAACUUGUAAUCAGAAAUCUUCUUGUAGUUUCUCUUCAUUUCUUUUCAGUAGCAUCCGUCGCCCUCCGUUGCUCCUUUUUCUGUCUCCUGUGUUGUUUGAUUUGUGUUAACUCAACAACUUUCUUCAAUAAAUCAGUCAUCUUUGGUUCA